GAUGAACGCUGGCGGCGUGCCUAAUACAUGCAAGUCGAGCGAGCGGACGAGAAGCUUGCUUCUCUGAUGUUAGCGGCGGACGGGUGAGUAACACGUGGAUAACCUACCUAUAAGACUGGGAUAACUUCGGGAAACCGGAGCUAAUACCGGAUAAUAUUUUGAACCGCAUGGUUCAAAAGUGAAGGACGGUCUUGCUGUCACUUAUAGAUGGAUCCGCGCUGCAUUAGCUAGUUGGUAAGGUAACGGCUUACCAAGGCAACGAUGCAUAGCCGACCUGAGAGGGUGAUCGGCCACACUGGAACUGAGACACGGUCCAGACUCCUACGGGAGGCAGCAGUAGGGAAUCUUCCGCAAUGGGCGAAAGCCUGACGGAGCAACGCCGCGUGAGUGAUGAAGGUCUUCGGAUCGUAAAACUCUGUUAUUAGGGAAGAACAUAUGUGUAAGUAACUGUGCACAUCUUGACGGUACCUAAUCAGAAAGCCACGGCUAACUACGUG
rnacentral:rRNA from 1 species